AUUCUUCGUGUUUCCGUUAACCGGGAAACGUGGACUACAUUGUCCAUCUUGGAAACCCAAGUUUACGUGUUUGGGAAGCCAGAAGGGGUUACUAUGCUGGAAAAGUUUGACAUUGCAAAUAAGGGAUUUUAUAUAUCGUUCCACCAGGCUAGGUGCCCAAGUACCUGGAUUUAAUAUUUUGAAGUGGGCUCUGGAACGGUCAGCAAUAAUAUUUAACACGGGUACGGCUCUCUACCUUCUGUAUCCUGCUUCCACACAUCUUUCAUCUCUGUCCACUAUGUGCACAUUAUUUUUCCCCAGUGCUUUUUUGUUCUUCCAUUGUAUUGCUUAAUCAUCCUCCCUUGUAACUUUAUGGAUUUAUUUCCUACACUGGAUUAUAAGCUUCUACAAGGUAGACUCAUCGAUUAUCUGGCACGUGGAAGAGAAGGACAAAGAAACAUGGAGGUUCUGAAAGGAGCUUCCCCUGCUCAAGUCUUUCCAAAGCAGUUUUUAUUUCUCAUAUCACCAGCAACAGAGCCCAUGAACCUUCUCUUGUUUUGAAGGCAUAGGCCAUCCUAGUCUGUGGAAAGCGGUAUCUCACUACCAGGACAUUCUUGAAGACAUCAGAAAAGGAGACAAUCUCUCCCCCAUCCCUCCAGCUGCUCUUCCUCAGUUUCCAGGUUUGAUCACCAAAAUAAAACAUGGGCAGGCGUGAGCAGUUCCACAUCAGCAAAAUUGAAAAGGAUGCAUGUGUGAAAGGACCAAGUGGAUCCUCCCCAGGGUUUUCGUGUGAGCAUGAGUAAAGGCAAGAACAGGGAAGAAAAUACCAUUGAGAAAACAAGUCUAAGUUUAUGUUUCAGAGUUCUGCUUUAUAUUGUGGCUCCACGGAGAUUUGAAGACCCUGCGGUGCUUGAUUGCCUGGUUAGACAUGGGAAAGGAGCCACUUGUCUUAUAGCAAGGUGAAAUCAAGAAACAUGGAAAGUCAUGAGUUGUUUCCCCAACCACCACGUGCCUCAUCCCCCCACCCGACUAUGUCCACCUCUGCCUAGAAGACUCCUUCUGGAACUUUAAGACCCACUGUCUCAUCUCUUUGAAACUUUCUGGAUCCACCCCUCUUUGGCCCCAAGUAGAAUAGCUGUUCUUUUUAUAUACUCCCUCGGACCCACAUAAGUAUGUGUGUGUUACUAAUAGGACACUUUUAAUAUGCU